GCAUUGGGCUGGCCAAAAAGCUUCUUCGGGCUUCCUAUAAGAUGGUACAGAAAAACCAGAACGAACUUUUUGGCCAACCCAGUAC
ensembl:miRNA